rnacentral:rRNA from 1 species
AAAUUGAAGAGUUUGAUCAUGGCUCAGAUUGAACGCUGGCGGCAGGCCUAACACAUGCAAGUCGAACGGUAGCACAGAGAGCUUGCUCUCGGGUGACGAGUGGCGGACGGGUGAGUAAUGUCUGGGAAACUGCCUGAUGGAGGGGGAUAACUACUGGAAACGGUGGCUAAUACCGCAUAACGUCGCAAGACCAAAGAGGGGGACCUUCGGGCCUCUUGCCAUCAGAUGUGCCCAGAUGGGAUUAGCUUGUUGGUGAGGUAACGGCUCACCAAGGCGACGAUCCCUAGCUGGUCUGAGAGGAUGACCAGCCACACUGGAACUGAGACACGGUCCAGACUCCUACGGGAGGCAGCAGUGGGGAAUAUUGCACAAUGGGCGCAAGCCUGAUGCAGCCAUGCCGCGUGUAUGAAGAAGGCCUUCGGGUUGUAAAGUACUUUCAGCGGGGAGGAAGGUGUUGUGGUUAAUAACCACAGCAAUUGACGUUACCCGCAGAAGAAGCACCGGCUAACUCCGUGCCAGCAGCCGCGGUAAUACGGAGGGUGCAAGCGUUAAUCGGAAUUACUGGGCGUAAAGCGCACGCAGGCGGUCUGUCAAGUCGGAUGUGAAAUCCCCGGGCUCAACCUGGGAACUGCAUUCGAAACUGGCAGGCUUGAGUCUUGUAGAGGGGGGUAGAAUUCCAGGUGUAGCGGUGAAAUGCGUAGAGAUCUGGAGGAAUACCGGUGGCGAAGGCGGCCCCCUGGACAAAGACUGACGCUCAGGUGCGAAAGCGUGGGGAGCAAACAGGAUUAGAUACCCUGGUAGUCCACGCCGUAAACGAUGUCUACUUGGAGGUUGUGCCCUUGAGGCGUGGCUUCCGGAGCUAACGCGUUAAGUAGACCGCCUGGGGAGUACGGCCGCAAGGUUAAAACUCAAAUGAAUUGACGGGGGCCCGCACAAGCGGUGGAGCAUGUGGUUUAAUUCGAUGCAACGCGAAGAACCUUACCUGGUCUUGACAUCCACGGAAGUUUUCAGAGAUGAGAAUGUGCCUUCGGGAACCGUGAGACAGGUGCUGCAUGGCUGUCGUCAGCUCGUGUUGUGAAAUGUUGGGUUAAGUCCCGCAACGAGCGCAACCCUUAUCCUUUGUUGCCAGCGGUCCGGCCGGGAACUCAAAGGAGACUGCCAGUGAUAAACUGGAGGAAGGUGGGGAUGACGUCAAGUCAUCAUGGCCCUUACGACCAGGGCUACACACGUGCUACAAUGGCGCAUACAAAGAGAAGCGACCUCGCGAGAGCAAGCGGACCUCAUAAAGUGCGUCGUAGUCCGGAUUGGAGUCUGCAACUCGACUCCAUGAAGUCGGAAUCGCUAGUAAUCGUGGAUCAGAAUGCCACGGUGAAUACGUUCCCGGGCCUUGUACACACCGCCCGUCACACCAUGGGAGUGGGUUGCAAAAGAAGUAGGUAGCUUAACCUUCGGGAGGGCGCUUACCACUUUGUGAUUCAUGACUGGGGUGAAGUCGUAACAAGGUAACCGUAGGGGAACCUGCGGUUGGAUCACCUCCUUACCUUAAAGAA